rnacentral:rRNA from 1 species
GGUCGUAGUGACCUGCGGAGGAUCAUUA